rnacentral:rRNA from 1 species
UAGGGAAUCUUCCGCAAUGGACGCAAGUCUGACGGAGCAACGCCGCGUGAGUGAAGAAGGAUUUCGGUUCGUAAAACUCUGUUGUUAGAGAAGAACAGCGCAUAGAGUAACUGUUAUGCGUGUGACGGUAUCUAACCAGAAAGCCACGGCUAACUACGUGCCAGCAGCCGCGGUAACACGUAGGUGGCAAGCGUUGUCCGGAUUUAUUGGGCGUAAAGCGAGCGCAGGCGGUCAAUUAAGUCUGAUGUGAAAGCCCCCGGCUCAACCGGGAAGGGUCAUUGGAAACUGGUUGACUUGAGUGCAGAAGAGGAGAGUGGAAUUCCAUGUGUAGCGGUGAAAUGCGUAGAUAUAUGGAGGAACACCAGUGGCGAAGGCGACUCUCUGGUCUGUAACUGACGCUGAGGUUCGAAAGCGUGGGUAGCAAACAGG